rnacentral:rRNA from 1 species
UGGACGGGGCCCGCACAAGCGGAGGAGCAUGUGGUUUAAUUCGAUGAUACGCGAGGAACCUUACCGUGGGCUCGAACGUAAGAUGACUGUAGGUGAAAGCUUACAUCUCUUCGGAGCAUUUUACGAGGUGCUGCAUGGUUGUCGUCAGCUCGUGCCGUGAGGUGUCGGGUUAAGUCCCAUAACGAGCGCAACCCCUACCUUUAGUUGCCAUCAGGUAAUGCUGGGGACUCUAAAGGAACUGCCUACGCAAGUAGUGAGGAAGGCGGGGAUGACGUCAAAUCAGCACGGCCCUUACGUCCAGGGCUACACACGUGCUACAAUGGCCGAUACAGAGGGCAGCUACCUGGUGACAGGAUGCAAAUCUCCAAAGUCGGUCUCAGUUCGGAUCGGAGUCUGCAACCCGACUCCGUGAAGUUGGAUUCGCUAGUAAUCGCGCAUCAGCCAUGGCGCGGUGAAUACGUUCCCGGGCCUU